rnacentral:rRNA from 1 species
AACGAACGCUGGCGGCAGGCCUAACACAUGCAAGUCGAGCGAGGACUUCGGUUCUAGCGGCGGACGGGUGAGUAACGCGUGGGAAUGUGCCCUUCUCUACGGAAUAGCCCUGGGAAACUGGGAGUAAUACCGUAUACGCCCUAUUGGGGAAAGAUUUAUCGGAGAAGGAUCAGCCCGCGUUGGAUUAGGUAGUUGGUGGGGUAAUGGCCUACCAAGCCGACGAUCCAUAGCUGGUUUGAGAGGAUGAUCAGCCACACUGGGGCUGAGACACGGCCCAGACUCCUACGGGAGGCAGCAGUGGGGAAUCUUAGACAAUGGGGGCAACCCUGAUCUAGCCAUGCCGCGUGAGUGAUGAAGGCCUUAGGGUUGUAAAGCUCUUUCAGCUGGGAAGAUAAUGACGGUACCAGCAGAAGAAGCCCCGGCUAACUCCGUG